AGCAGUGUGGCAUAGUGGAUAAUGAGUAGGGCUUUUAACCGUAAGGUUGCUGGUUUGAUUCCCAGAUGGGCCACUGUUG